rnacentral:rRNA from 1 species
GACGAACGCUGGCGGCGUGCUUAACACAUGCAAGUCGAACGGCAAGGCCCUGCUUUUGUGGGGUGCUCGAGUGGCGAACGGGUGAGUAACACGUGAGUAACCUGCCCUUGACUUUGGGAUAACUUCAGGAAACUGGGGCUAAUACCGGAUAGGAGCUCCUGCUGCAUGGUGGGGGUUGGAAAGUUUCGGCGGUUGGGGAUGGACUCGCGGCUUGUCAGCUUGUUGGUGGGGUAGUGGCUUACCAAGGCUUGGACGCGUAGCGGGCCUGAGAGGAGGACCGGACCAGUUGGGAUGGGAAUGCGACACAGACUCGAAUGGGAGGCAGCGGAGGGGAAGAGUGCAUAAGGGGAGGAAGCCUAAUGCAGCAAAGCCGCGUGGGGGAAGAGGUGAAGGGGGUAGGAAUGCACAGCCGCCUUGGACGAAGAGAGAGUGACGGUAAUGGGAAAAGAAGCACCGGCUAACUACGUG